AGUGAACGCUGGCGGUAGGCCUAACACAUGCAAGUCGAACGGCAGCACAGUAAGAGCUUGCUCUUACGGGUGGCGAGUGGCGGACGGGUGAGGAAUACAUCGGAAUCUACUUUUUCGUGGGGGAUAACGUAGGGAAACUUACGCUAAUACCGCAUACGACCUACGGGUGAAAGCAGGGGAUCUUCGGACCUUGCGCGAUUGAAUGAGCCGAUGUCGGAUUAGCUAGUUGGCGGGGUAAAGGCCCACCAAGGCGACGAUCCGUAGCUGGUCUGAGAGGAUGAUCACCCACACGGGAACUGAAACACGGUCCAGACUCCGAGGGGAGGCGGCAGGGGGAAAUAUUGAACAAGGGGCGCAAGCCUGACCCAUCAAUACCGGGGGGGUGAAAAAGGCCUUGGGUUUGAAAGCCCUUUUUUUGGGAAAAAAAAAGCAGCAGGUUAAUCCCCCGCUUUUCUGAGGUUACCAAAAAAAAAAGCACCGGCUAACUUCGUC
rnacentral:rRNA from 1 species